rnacentral:rRNA from 1 species
AAAUUGAAGAGUUUGAUCAUGGCUCAGAUUGAACGCUGGCGGCAGGCCUAACACAUGCAAGUCGAGCGGUAGCACAGAGAGCUUGCUCUCGGGUGACGAGCGGCGGACGGGUGAGUAAUGUCUGGGAAACUGCCUGAUGGAGGGGGAUAACUACUGGAAACGGUAGCUAAUACCGCAUAACGUCGCAAGACCAAAGUGGGGGACCUUCGGGCCUCAUGCCAUCAGAUGUGCCCAGAUGGGAUUAGCUAGUAGGUGGGGUAACGGCUCACCUAGGCGACGAUCCCUAGCUGGUCUGAGAGGAUGACCAGCCACACUGGAACUGAGACACGGUCCAGACUCCUACGGGAGGCAGCAGUGGGGAAUAUUGCACAAUGGGCGCAAGCCUGAUGCAGCCAUGCCGCGUGUGUGAAGAAGGCCUUCGGGUUGUAAAGCACUUUCAGCGGGGAGGAAGGCGUUAAGGUUAAUAACCUUGGCGAUUGACGUUACCCGCAGAAGAAGCACCGGCUAACUCCGUGCCAGCAGCCGCGGUAAUACGGAGGGUGCAAGCGUUAAUCGGAAUUACUGGGCGUAAAGCGCACGCAGGCGGUCUGUCAAGUCGGAUGUGAAAUCCCCGGGCUCAACCUGGGAACUGCAUUCGAAACUGGCAGGCUAGAGUCUUGUAGAGGGGGGUAGAAUUCCAGGUGUAGCGGUGAAAUGCGUAGAGAUCUGGAGGAAUACCGGUGGCGAAGGCGGCCCCCUGGACAAAGACUGACGCUCAGGUGCGAAAGCGUGGGGAGCAAACAGGAUUAGAUACCCUGGUAGUCCACGCCGUAAACGAUGUCGAUUUGGAGGUUGUGCCCUUGAGGCGUGGCUUCCGGAGCUAACGCGUUAAAUCGACCGCCUGGGGAGUACGGCCGCAAGGUUAAAACUCAAAUGAAUUGACGGGGGCCCGCACAAGCGGUGGAGCAUGUGGUUUAAUUCGAUGCAACGCGAAGAACCUUACCUGGUCUUGACAUCCACAGAACUUUCCAGAGAUGGAUUGGUGCCUUCGGGAACUGUGAGACAGGUGCUGCAUGGCUGUCGUCAGCUCGUGUUGUGAAAUGUUGGGUUAAGUCCCGCAACGAGCGCAACCCUUAUCCUUUGUUGCCAGCGGUUCGGCCGGGAACUCAAAGGAGACUGCCAGUGAUAAACUGGAGGAAGGUGGGGAUGACGUCAAGUCAUCAUGGCCCUUACGACCAGGGCUACACACGUGCUACAAUGGCAUAUACAAAGAGAAGCGACCUCGCGAGAGCAAGCGGACCUCAUAAAGUAUGUCGUAGUCCGGAUUGAGUCUGCAACUCGACUCCAUGAAGUCGGAAUCGCUAGUAAUCGUAGAUCAGAAUGCUACGGUGAAUACGUUCCCGGGCCUUGUACACACCGCCCGUCACACCAUGGGAGUGGGUUGCAAAAGAAGUAGGUAGCUUAACCUUCGGGAGGGCGCUUACCACUUUGUGAUUCAUGACUGGGGUGAAGUCGUAACAAGGUAACCGUAGGGGAACCUGCGGUUGGAUCACCUCCUUA